AGCUGGAAUUGCUAGUAAUCGCGGAUCAGCAUGCCGCGGUGAGUACGUUCCCGGGCCUUGUACACACCGCCCGUCACACCAUGGGAGCCGGUAAUACCCGAAGUCAGUAGUCCAACCUCGUGAGGACGCUGCCGAAGGUAGGAUUGGCGACUGGGGUGAAGUCGUAACAAGGUAUC
rnacentral:rRNA from 1 species